CCCUUAGACGUUCUGGGCCGCACGCGCGCUACACUGACCAGUGCAACAAGCAUCCGUCCUUGGCCGACAGGCCCGGGCAAUCUUUGAACGCUGGUCGUGAUGGGGAUAGACUUUUGCAAUUUUUGGUCUUCAACGAGGAAUUCCUAGUAAACGCAAGUCAACAACUUGCAUUGAUUACGUCCCUGCCCUUUGUACACACCGCCCGUCGCACCUACCGAUUGAAUGGUCCGGUGAAGCCUCCGGAUUGGCGCGCACCUCGGUGCCGCCGAGAAGUUGGCUAAACCUUACCAUUUAGAGGAAGGUGAAGUCGUAACA
rnacentral:rRNA from 1 species